UGUUGGAUGUUGCUGUUCAGUCUGUGUCCUGUGUCUGCUCUCCUCUCCUCCCUCCUCUCCUCUUUCUGUGUCUACUCCUUCUGCAGAACAACAGCUGCAGCUGAGACUCAGGUUCCUCUGAACAGGACUACCACCAGGGGAAGUGAGAGAAGAGAGAAGGAGGAAGGAGAUCUGUGUUAUGCCUCGUUGGAUAUCCGUCAGGGACAG